UACGAAGGGGGGCUAGCGUUGUUCGGAAUUACUGGGCGUAAAGCGCAUGUAGGCGGAUUGUUUAGUGAGGGGGUGAAAUCCCAGGGCUCAACCCUGGAACUGCCUCUCAUACUGGCAAUCUCGAGUUCGAGAGAGGUGAGUGGAAUUCCGAGUGUAGAGGUGAAAUUCGUAGAUAUUCGGAGGAACACCAGUGGCGAAGGCGGCUCACUGGCUCGGUACUGACGCUGAGGUGCGAAAGCGUGGGGAGCAAACAGG
rnacentral:rRNA from 1 species